AACGGCGCCAUUUUAUUAAUAGGUUAUUUAAAACCUUUUUUUUCCUAUUUCCUUUUCCAAACACAGCCAACAUUUUAACCAAAAUUUACAGCCCUAAAAUCAAUUUGUUAGGGCUCAUUCUAGCAAUCGUCGAACCACCAUUCCAUUUGGUGGCCGACAAUGCACAAGCAGCGACCAGAUUCCACUGACGAAGGCUCCGCUCAAGGAAAUCUGGAAUGGCUGUACGGAGGAGAGGGGAAAUGGCUCGUGGGAACCCAACCACUAGCACUGUUCUAGCGUAUUCCAGAAGUUUCUGGUGUUCUCGGUUGUUGAUUUUCUUUGAGUCCAAUUGGGUCUCGCGUUUGGGUUAUUAGAAUCGGGUUUAGG